rnacentral:rRNA from 1 species
GCAUAUCAAUAAGCGGAGGAAAAGAAACCAACAGGGAUUGCCUCAGUAACGGCGAGUGAAGCGGCAACAGCUCAAAUUUGAAAUCUGGCCUCUUUGGGGUCCGAGUUGUAAUUUGUAGAGGAUGUUUCGGGUACCGCCUCGGCCUAAAUUUCUUGGAACAGAAUGUCAAAGAGGGUGAGAAUCCCGUCUUGGACCGGCGGUAGGGCCCAUGUGAAACUCCUUCGACGAGUCGAGUUGUUUGGGAAUGCAGCUCAAAAUGGGUGGUAAAUUUCAUCUAAAGCUAAAUAUUGGCCAGAGACCGAUAGCGCACAAGUAGAGUGAUCGAAAGAUGAAAAGCACUUUGAAAAGAGAGUUAAACAGUAUGUGAAAUUGUUGAAAGGGAAGCGCUUGCAACCAGACUUGUGCUCGGCGGUUCCCCCUUCCUUUUGGUUGGGUUAUUCCGUCGUGUCCAGGCCAACAUCGGUUCUGGGGGUCGGUCAAAGGCCUUGGGAAUGUACCUACCCUUCGGGCGUAGACUUAUAGCCCUUGGUGUCAUGCGGCCUCCCGGGACCGAGGAACGCGCUUCGGCUCGGAUGUUGGCGUAAUGGUUGUCAGCGACCCGUCUUGAAACACGGACC